rnacentral:rRNA from 1 species
UACGGGGGGGGCAAGCGUUGUUCGGAAUUACUGGGCGUAAAGGGCUCGUAGGCGGCGCGUUAAGUCGGGUGUGAAAGCCCUGGGCUCAACCCAGGAAGUGCAUUCGAAACUGGCGCGCUUGAAUAUGGAAGAGGGUCGCGGAAUUCCCGGUGUAGAGGUGAAAUUCGUAGAUAUCGGGAGGAACACCAGUGGCGAAGGCGGCGACCUGGGCCAAUAUUGACGCUGAGGUGCGAAAGCGUGGGGAGCAAACAGG